rnacentral:tRNA from 1 species
GUGCGUAUAGCUCAGCUGGAUAGAGCGUCUGACUACGGAUCAGAAGGUCUGGGGUUCAAAUCCUCAUACGCACG